rnacentral:tmRNA from 1 species
GGGGAUGAAAGGUUUCGACGUUCAGUCGUUUAACCGGAGAAGCGUGUCGAGAAUUUAAGGUGAUCUCGUUAAACACCCUUAAAAACAAAUAACUGCCAAAACUAAGCAGUCUGCUGACGCUUACGCACUCGCUGCGUAACCGAUAAAUCAGCCGUCAGCCCAAUGCGUCCUCGAAUUGGGGUCUGACGUCGCUAGGGGACUCACCAAUCGUCUCGGUUACGGGGACAGGCGGAAAACCAAACAGUAACUGGGCUGCCACCGCAAAGUGCUGCACAUAGUGCGGGGGCCGAGACAGCGACAGCGCAGCUACACACGUAGAAGGACGGAAAAAUCCUGCACGGACCCGGGUUCGAUUCCCGGCAUCUCCACAA